GCGGCGGCCGUCUGGUGCGGCGGGGGUUCCGCGCGCUCCCGGGAGCCGGGCGGGCCUGCAGACCGCCGACGCCCCCGUCGUCCCCGAGAGCCCCCUGCCGGCACCCCCCCACCCUCCUCCCAGGACCCGGCCCGCCAAGACCCGGCCCGCCGACCCCAGGACCCGCCUCCCAGGACCCGGCCCGCCGUCCCCCCUGGACCUGCCCGGCAGCCGUGUGUUCUCAGCACGCUCCACACCCGACAUGGAACCUAACGUGGGGCUCACUCGUGACCAUUAGAUGAAGACCUGAGCUGAAAUCAAGAGUCACUUCACCGACUGAGCCACCCAGGUGCCUCCAUAUAAGAAAAUAUCUUAAAAAUAUUGAGAAGCAGGCAGUGGCAAGGCUGGGACCGGUGCCCAGGACAACAUGAAUUUCCAGUCCCCUCUGUUGCUUUGGACCUGACGGUCCUGACUUUGGAGUCGUGGGAUCAAGCCCCAGCUAUUGUCUGUCUCUCAUUAUCCCUAAAUGGUGAAGAUCACCAACUAAAGGAAGCUUAAGGAACAUGAACUUUGGGGUUGUUUGACAGGCUGAUUUGCUGCCUGGUAAAGUGCUUUAGGCAUUGUGAGUACUCAGUAAAUGCUGGAGAGUGGUUGGACGUGGGGCAGGUAGUGGAAGUGAUUUGGAGAAAUGGGAGACAGAAUGAACUUGAUUGAGGUAUGGAGAGGCCUCUAUAGGUAGCCAAUAUGCCUCCUGAUCCAAAGGACAUGAAAUUGAGGAAAAAAAUAUAUAAAGGAAAUUUCUCCAGAAACCAAAAAGGACCAGAGCAGGGUGGGAUCCCUGACCAGGGCCUCUGGAUGGGCAGGAAUGCAGGCAAGCUGACCCUGAAGCCGCACCAGGGUCCACUCUCAGCCCAGGUGGAAAGGAGAGGUUGGACACUCAGGUGCAUUAGCCAGACCGCUGCCGCAAGGGCUCAGACUGUUGGCCUUACUUGACAAAGGCUGACCCUGGGGCUUGGGGAGGUCACACUGCCUAGAGGCAGCUGGGAUUCAGCCUUCAGGCAUUGGCCCCAGAGCCUGCGUUCCUCAUCCCUACUGACUGCCUCUCUGCGUAGUUUUAGGGUUUCCCUGAUAGGGCUCCAUGAGGGGGGGGCGGCGAAUAAAGGGGCGAGGAUGUGAGUGAAGCACAAGCCAGGAAUGUCAGAUGCAACAGCCCAGGACCCGCAGGGAGGCGGCGUGGCUGGGGCCGGAGAGACGUGAGGCAAGUAACAGUGAGCUCAGAGAGCCUGCAGGGCCAGGCCCAUGGAGCCCCAGGGGACACGUUACUAUGAAGCUGCACAAGCGUGGCUGCAGGUGCAGAGGGUCAGACAUCUGCAUAAUGCCCACUGCCUUCAGUAAGUGGCUGUGGAGACAGACCCCGAGUGGCCCCCGUGAUCUCUGCCCACUCUCAUCCCCUCCUGUGAUGUGGGCUGGCCCGUGGCUCCCCUCUAGCUAGUAGAAUACUACAGAGAUGUGGGGAGUGUACAAGAUGUAAUUAAGGUUCAAAAUCCGUAGAUUUUGAGUUAAUUGGAAGGGAGGUGAUCCUGGGUGAGCUUGGCUUAGAUAACAGCCCUUUCAAGGGGGACUUGGUCUCUUCUGAGGCUAGAAACUCACUCCUGCCAUCCUUGCAGAGGCAAACAGCCAUGUUGUCAAUGGCCUCUGGGGACGGCCCCGGGGCAGGGGACCUCUGGCAGCUUUUAGGAUCUGAGGGUGGCUGAAACAGCCAGUAAGAAGCUAGGGAAGUGAGUCCAUCCAACAGCCCAACGGCCCAGCAGUGAAUCUUUCCCCACUCGGGCUUCCAGGUGGGUACACAGCCUGGCCACAUGUUGGCUACUGGCUCAUGAAUUGUUUUAAGUUGCUCAAUCUGUGGUACUUUGUCGUGUAGCCUAGCAAAUGAAUACAGUAGGAGAUUUCUAACAUACGUGUAUGUGUUGAUUUUCCCAGCACAAAUGGGGACCGGCAGGUAGAGGGAGUGGGAGAAGCAGGCUCCCCAUUGAGCAGAGAGCCUGACAUGGGGCUUGAUCCCAGGACUCUGGGAUCAUGACCUGAGCCAAAGGUAGACGCUUAACCAUUUUUUUAAAAGAUUUUAUUUAUUUAUUCAUAAGAGACAGAGAGAGGCAGAGACACAGGCAGAGGGAGAAGCAGGCUCCAUGCAGCGAGCCCAAGGUGGGACUCGAUCCUGGGUCUCUAGGAUCACGCCCUGGGCCAAAGUCAGCACUAAACCGCUGAGCCACCAGGGGUUCCUGAUGCUUAACCAUUUGAGCCACCCAGGUGCCCCUGGACUGGUGAUUAUUCACAAAAACAGGCAGGUGCCUGUUGCAGUGCUCACACACAAAAGCCAGGCAAGGAGCGGGCUUCAGGACGCCUGGGUGACUCAUUGGCUGAGCAUCUGACUUCAGCUCAGGCGUGAUCCUGAGAUCCCAGAAUUGAGUGCCACAUCAGGCUCCUGAGGAGCCUGCCUCUCUCUCUGCCUAUGUCUCUGCCCUUCUCUUUUCUUUGUGUGUCUCUUGAAUAAAUAAAUAUAAUCUUAAAAAAAAAAAAAAAAGGAACGGGCUUUGCUACAUAUUCCCAGGUCGGUAAUACAUCACCCAAGUGUCCUGAAGAGAAGACAUCACCAUGAAGAUUCAGUCCUUCAUUUCUGGGUAAUAAAAUUUCUAGAGAUCUUGCUAAUCUUAAUGCAACGCUGGUAAGGCAAACAAAUUUUUAAUAAUACUAACAGAUGAAGUCACAAUUUUGUAAUGACAGGACUAGGUUAAUCAAUUAUAAAAAAAACCCAAAGAUGGGUUUUGGAAUACCCUUCAGCAAGACUUUAAAAAUGCAUUGUUAUAGGGGCACCUGGCUGGCUUAGCCAGUAGAGCAUGCGACUUUUUUAGGGAGAGAGAAAGUGCAUGUGCACAGGGUAGGGGAUGGGGGAGGGUAGGGAGGUGGGUGAGGAGAGGGAGAGAAUCCUAAGCAGACUCCCCACUGAGCAUAGAGCCUAAUGCGGGGCUUGAUCCCACAACCCUGAGACCGUGACCUGAAACCAAGAGUCAGAUGCUUAACCAGCUGCACCCCCUAGGUGUCCUGAGCAUGUGACUCUUGAUCUCAGGGUUGUAAGUCUGAGCCCCACGUUGCAUGUAGAGAUUACUUAAAAAUAAAAUAUUUUUUAAAAGAU